UGCUUCUGGGGCACAGUGUCCUGAGUGCAGGUCCUCAACCUUACAGCUGCCCACUCCAGCUGUGCCUGGGAUGGAGCCAGUGCUACCAACCUAGGAAGCAGCUCAGGGAGUGUGCUUAGUAUGUGCCCCAUUGCUUCAUUGCAUGACAAGGUUAAUCUGCAGGAGUAGCAAGGAUUUUAGCCAGCACGCGUUCUGUAUCUGAGGAAGAACAUGUCUUUAAGAACAUCAAGGUGCUCACCUCUAGCACAUAUCAGCUUUACAUAUCAAAGAUAUCAUAAGAAAGCUGUUUAAAACAUAAAAAGUUAUAAGGUAGCUCAAGGGUAGGAUUACUGACCCUGAGUAUUAUAUCUAAUUACACACACACACACACACACACACACACACACACACACACACACACACAGAAAUAGCUACAAAAGUUGGAAAAAUAAACGAAUCUCAAAAAUAUAUAAAUAAAUGUAUAAUUAUUAAAAUCUAUAUGAGAGUCAAUGUUUAUCACCCAGCAUUGAGGAAGGGGCUUAGAGAAAUGAAAUAUCCCUCUCCAACCUCAAAAAACAUACGCACACACACAAUCAAUGACAUGUGUAAUUAUACCAGGAAAUACCCGUAUUUUAUAGAAUGCCAUAAUCGAAAGUAAGAACCAUCUUUUUUGUUAAGGGUUGCCAAUACAUUCUUUUUCCAAGGUGUGUGCAGCUGUGCCAGUCUUGUUCACUAUGGGAUGGAAGAGGUCCCUGACCUGUGAGCCUAGAUGUUCAUCCACAGAGCUUGUAAUUCUGAUUGGUGCAACAGUCAGGAAGAGUGAAAGAUGUCAUCUCCCAAGGACAAGUGCUGUGCUAGUGGACACUGAGGAACUUCAGGGAUCAAACCCUUCCCCAUUCUUCUUCAGCCUCUCUUGUUCUUCGUUGAGAUGUUUCCUGAAGAUCUAAAAGAUCCAGGCAAUCCAUGACAUGGGUUUGAACAUAAUCUCGACAUUUUAUUCAUUGCCUGAUAACUAAGACUAGGAAUGGCUCUGCAUGUGGUCAACACACACUACCCUGGAAGACCAGAGAGUUCAAGGACGGCCAACUUUCACUUAAGCAAACUUUUUCACAGAGUGUGUGGGUCCCAUCAGCAGAGAGUAGCCUCCACAUUGCAAUGAUGUGCAAACUUCUGCCUUUCAGCCAUGAUGGACUUUAGGAUCUACCCUGAGGACCCUCCACAAGCCACAGGUGGGUGAUGUGUAAAUUGGGCAUGUUAUUGGGUCAGGUCUUCAGUGCAGUGCCUUAAGCUGACAGCCUUUUGGGAGGGCAUAUGCUUCUCUAUUAAAUGAACUGGUUCCACUGUU
rnacentral:sRNA from 1 species